rnacentral:rRNA from 1 species
AAUAUUGGACAAUGGGCGAAAGCCUGAUCCAGCCAUGCCGCGUGAGUGAUGAAGGCCCUAGGGUUGUAAAGCUCUUUCACCGGUGAAGAUAAUGACGGUAACCGGAGAAGAAGCCCCGGCUAACUUCGUGCCAGCAGCCGCGGUAAGACGAAGGGGGCUAGCGUUGUUCGGAAUUACUGGGCGUAAAGCGAGUGUAGGUGGUUUUCCAAGUUGGAUGUGAAAGCCUUGAGCUCAACUCAAGAAAUGCAUUCAGGACUGGGAGACUAGAGGACCGGAGAGGAUAGUGGAAUUCCCAGUGUAGUGGUGAAAUACGUAGAGAUUGGAAAGAACACCAGUGGCGAAGGCGGCUAUCUGGACGGUUUCUGACACUAAGACUCGAAAGCGUGGGGAGCAAAC